rnacentral:tRNA from 1 species
GCUUUCGUAGUGCAGCGUUCAGCACGCUCGACGCGUAACCGAGAGGUCCGUGGUUCGAUUCCCGGCGAAGGUG